GUUUUGACUUUUUUUUUUUUGGGGGGGGGGGGGGGUAGGACAUAUUUUUGCAUUUCUAUAUAUCAAGUUAUCAACUAACUCGGCUUAGAUGCUCCUCAGUUUGAACUUUCCCCUCCUUUUUUGGGGAAAAUUUUCCAUUGAAUUGCUCAGAACACCAGUUUAUUA